rnacentral:rRNA from 1 species
AUGAACCAAAGCGGUGGCCGCAGACGCAAUAAAUCAGCUCGCAAUGGUCGUCACAGGCGUAAUCUAAAUGCAACGCAAAAAGCAACUCGCAACGAAGCCGCUGCUAGCAACGCAAGCGAAGACAGGUUUAGCAAGCUGCCCAAUGACCUUCUGCUCAACAUUCUGGAGAGGGUGGACACGCUCGACGCUAUAAGGACCUCUGUCCUCUCGAAGCGAAUGCUGAAGCUCCCCACCAUGCUCUCACAGUUCUUCCUAAGUAUUAGUUCCAUCAAAUAUGACCAUGAUAAAAUGCCCCAAAUCAACCGUGCCGUGGCUCAUUUAACUGAUAGCAUCUUGGGCACGAGGAACCCGGAAAUCACCAUCCGCAAUCUCAAAAUCAGAUUCAUUUUGAUGGAUCAUGACUCUCUCACCAUUGGAAGAUCUGUCGCCCACGCCAUGGCAACCCAGAAGGUUGAAGCAGCUGAGUUUGAGAUUAUAACGGAGAAGGCUUAUAGUGACAGCACUCCUGCCGAUCUCCUCCAAUCUGCUAAGCUGUUCAAUAAUUUUGUUGGUGCUUGUCCGGAUGCGUUUGCUGGCCUCAGGCGCCUGUGGCUGCGUAAUAUGAGGUUCGGUGAACAGUACAUCCCAAACAUCCUCAGCACUUGCAAGCUCUUGGAGUCUUUGCGUUUAACCCAUUGCGACUCAGGGAUCUAUUCUGUGCUGCAAGUAGAACAUGCUCAACUUAUUGAGCUCGAGGUUGACCUUGGGAAAUUUGAGAGAGUUGAGCUGAUAUGUCUACCCAAACUCCAGCGGGUGAGCUAUAAUAAUUGGUGCUCUUCUGAACAUCCUGUGUAUUUUGGUCUUGUACCACAGCUUUCAAGGCUGAGCCUCACUAAAGUUGGCGUCCAUUCUGAUAAGAUUCUUGAGUUAAGUCAGCUUCUUGCUGAUGUUCAUUCCAUAAGUGAUCUGCAUCUGGAUUUUCAAAGUGAAAAGAUUUGGGUUUUACCAGAAUGCCCGAAAAUGCUCAAGCCUGUGCUCAGCAAACUACAGCAUGUGAAUCUGGACAAUCUUCCUGAAGGAUGUGAUUUAGCUUGGACAAUGUUUAUUAUUGAAGCUGCACCCUCCCUAAAAGAGCUGUGCAUUACAGUAUGGGAUCAUUGGUGCAUAAUGAUGACAAACAAAGAGUUCCGGAAGAAAUAUGGUUACUGCGAAAAGGCAGACGUGAAGUGGAAGCUAUAUGCUCCUGAUUUCAAGCACAAGACUCUGGCUAAGCUCACCAUCUACGGCUUCCAACCCAACGACAAUUUUAAGCGAUACAUCAGAUGUGUUGUGGAACAUGCGGUUAAUAUAACAGAGAUAUCUCUGUACGACAGGAAGCUGUGUGGGCGUUGUGGUGACAAGGUUUACCAAUCAAGAUAUCCACGGACUGCCGAGGAGAGGAAACGAACAGCUGAGGGGUUGGGUUUGGCUUCGCCUGCUGUGAUUCACUUCCGGUCCUAA